GUGGGGAAUCUUGCGCAAUGGGCGAAAGCCUGACGCAGCCAUGCCGCGUGAAUGAUGAAGGUCUUAGGAUUGUAAAAUUCUUUCACCGGGGACGAUAAUGACGGUACCCGGAGAAGAAGCCCCGGCUAACUUCGUGCCAGCAGCCGCGGUAAUACGAAGGGGGCUAGCGUUGCUCGGAAUUACUGGGCGUAAAGGGCGCGUAGGCGGACAUUUAAGUCAGGGGUGAAAUCCCAGAGCUCAACUCUGGAACUGCCUUUGAUACUGGGUGUCUUGAGUGUGAGAGAGGUAUGUGGAACUCCGAGUGUAGAGGUGAAAUUCGUAGAUAUUCGGAAGAACACCAGUGGCGAAGGCGACAUACUGGCUCAUUACUGACGCUGAGGCGCGAAAGCGUGGGGAGCAAACAGGAUUAGAUACCCUUGUAGUCC
rnacentral:rRNA from 1 species